rnacentral:rRNA from 1 species
AAAGGUAAGCUACUAAGAGCGAAUGGUGGAUGCCUUGACUGGUAAAGGCGAUGAAGGACGUACUAGACUGCGAUAAGCUACGGGGAGCUGUCAAGAAGCUUUGAUCCGUAGAUUUCCGAAUGGGGCAACCCAAUGUAUAGAGAUAUACAUUACCUAUAUAGGAGCGAACGAGGGGAAUUGAAACAUCUUAGUACUCUCAGGAAAAGAAAUCAAUAGAGAUUGCGUCAGUAGCGGCGAGCGAAAGCGCAAGAGGGCAAACCCAGUGCUUGCACUGGGGGUUGUAGGACUGCAAUGUGCAAGAGGUAAG